CAGAAUGAGAGAGAGAGAGAGAGAGAGAGAGAGAGAGAGAGAGAGAGAGAGGUUAUAGUGGUGGGGAUGAUGAUGUUGGGUAUGUGGUAGCAUCAGCGCACAUCUCACACAUUCACACAGAGGAGCUUCAUAGACCGCCGAGAUGUGGCGGAUAGUGGAGCUCGUGGCGUGUUUACUUAUGAUGUCCAGUCAUGUAUCAUCUCAGAACAAGAUAUUCGUGUCUCUUUGCAAAUCUGAGUGCUCUUUUUUUCAACUCAAGAGGAGAUUGCAUGAUUUUUUGUCCUCAGGAGAAAGAUCUUAAAAGGAGAAGUCUCCAUUUGUUCUUUAUUUCAUCUUAUUGCUGUCUAGUAUGCUCAAGAUAUUUUUUCCCUAAGAGUGCCUGACGUUUUCAGGUAAACCAUAAGACGUUGAAACACAGGUGUGUUUGAUUAGAGUUGGAACUGAACCCAGGAAGGUAGCAGACCUUAGCAUCCUAAAUCAAGGGUUUGAGUAACAUACAGUAGAGAAAAAGUGCAGAGACAUCUGAAAAAAAAUCCAGCAAGACAGCGGCUUUUGAAUCCAUCAUGAAGAUUUCCAGUAACCUUCCAUUAUAAUCUCCACUCCAAAUGUAUUUUCUGGUGACAUCUUCGAAGUUUUUCAGUUGUUCACCCCAAUUGUUCAAAUUGCACCUAAUGAGAAGUGUUUACCACUUCAUUGGAAGCUUUUCUUUAAGCCCUUCCAGCUGUGACGGACAGAUGAAAGGCUGAUGUGUGCACAGAGAAAGUCACUUCGGCUAAGAAAACGACACUGAGACGUCAUGACGCAUCAGGAGCCGCACUUAUCACAGGUCACGGCUCGCCGGAGAGGACGACGGCCCCAAUCCUCACUGUUGUUGGAUUUUUUUUUCAUUUCAUUUCCAUUUCAUUCCCUGUUCUGAGUUUUGAUGAAAAUGUGAGUGUUUUUCGAAUAAUGAUCUUUAAAAAAGCAUCAUAUGACCCCUUUAAAAACAGAAGAAAUUUCUCA
rnacentral:lncRNA from 1 species